rnacentral:rRNA from 1 species
AAUAGAUACCCUGGUAGUCCACGCCGUAAACGAUGUCGACUUGGAGGUUGUGCCCUUGAGGCGUGGCUUCCGGAGCUAACGCGUUAAGUCGACCGCCUGGGGAGUAUGGCCGCAAGGUUAAAACUCAAAUGAAUUGACGGGGGCCCGCACAAGCGGUGGAGCAUGUGGUUUAAUUCGAUGCAACGCGAAGAACCUUACCUACUCUUGACAUCCAGAGAACUUAGCAGAGAUGCUUUGGUGCCUUCGGGAACUCUGAGACAGGUGCUGCAUGGCUGUCGUCAGCUCGUGUUGUGAAAUGUUGGGUUAAGUCCCGCAACGAGCGCAACCCUUAUCCUUUGUUGCCAGCGGUCCGGCCGGGAACUCAAAGGAGACUGCCAGUGAUAAACUGGAGGAAGGUGGGGAUGACGUCAAGUCAUCAUGGCCCUUACGAGUAGGGCUACACACGUGCUACAAUGGCAUAUACAAAGAGAAGCGACCUCGCGAGAGCAAGCGGACCUCAUAAAGUAUGUCGUAGUCCGGAUUGG